rnacentral:rRNA from 1 species
UGGUAGUNCACGCCCUAAACGAUGUCANUUAGCUGUUGGGCAACUUGAUUGCUUAGUAGCGUAGCUAACGCGUGAAAUUGACCGCCUGGGGAGUACGGUCGCAAGAUUAAAACUCAAAGGAAUUGACGGGGACCCGCACAAGCGGUGGAUGAUGUGGAUUAAUUCGAUGCAACGCGAAGAACCUUACCUGGUCUUGACAUGUACGGAAUCUCUCAGAGACGGGAGAGUGCCUUCGGGAGCCGUAACACAGGUGCUGCAUGGCUGUCGUCAGCUCGUGUCGUGAGAUGUUGGGUUAAGUCCCGCAACGAGCGCAACCCUUGUCAUUAGUUGCCAUCAUUUAGUUGGGCACUCUAAUGAGACUGCCGGUGACAAACCGGAGGAAGGUGGGGAUGACGUCAAGUCCUCAUGGCCCUUAUGACCAGGGCUUCACACGUCAUACAAUGGUCGGUACAGAGGGUCGCCAAGCCGCGAGGUGGAGCCAAUCUCACAAAACCGAUCGUAGUCCGGAUUGCACUCUGCAACUCGAGUGCAUGAAGUCGGAAUCGCUAGUAAUCGCAGGUCAGCAUACUGCGGUGAAUACGUUCCCGGGUCUUGUACACACCGCCCGUCACACCAUGGGAGUGGGGGAUACCAGAA